rnacentral:rRNA from 1 species
GACGAACGCUGGCGGCGUGCUUAACACAUGCAAGUCGAACGGAAAGGCCCUGCUUUUGUGGGGUGCUCGAGUGGCGAACGGGUGAGUAACACGUGAGUAACCUGCCCUUGACUUUGGGAUAACUUCAGGAAACUGGGGCUAAUACCGGAUAGGAGCUCCUGCUGCAUGGUGGGGGUUGGAAAGUUUCGGCGGUUGGGGAUGGACUCGCGGCUUAUCAGCGUGUUGGUGGGGUAGUGGCUUACCAAGGCUUUGACGGGUAGCCGGCCUGAGAGGGUGACCGGCCACAUUGGGACUGAGAUACGGCCCAGACUCCUACGGGAGGCAGCAGUGGGGAAUAUUGCACAAUGGGCGGAAGCCUGAUGCAGCACCGCCGCGUGCGGGAUGACGGCCUUCGGGUUGUAAACCGCUUUCGCCUGUGACGAAGCGUGAGUGACGGUAAUGGGUAAAGAAGCACCGGCUAACUACGUG